CUCCCCCGCAGUGACCGCGCAUGCGUCCGAUAAAGGCCGGGUCCAGGGAAAGGGACACGCCCGCCGCUGACUUGUUCCCGGGGGACGUUACGGGGCAACAGCGCCACCUGCUGGGCAGCGCCGCUGCGUUCCGCCUCGUGCCUCCCCCGCGCCCCGCUAAACCCAGAGCCUCGGUCCCAAGCUACGAGCCAUAGCUACAAUCCCCUCCCGUGGCAAAGUGAAAAUUUCUCGAGUUCAAUCGUUCCACUAGAGUGGGUCAGAUAAGAAAAGGCCCUUCCCCAUAAUCGCUCCAGCUGUCUGCUCCGUUCUUUCAGGCUCCUGUAAGCCAUUCCAGGUUAGCAUCCAUUCUGUUGAUAAGUCCCAGUCUGAUUUGUGGAUGGCCAGUAGUGCAACAAAUUCAAAUAAUCCGCAAAUCCUUCCAUGGAGUACAAGACAUCAAAGUUGGAGGCCAACAGCAAAGAAAAUGCUGGCAGACAGAGGAGCGAUCACAACUGAUGCAGCUACAGCUCAAACCUAACACUAGAGAUCUGGCUAGCAGUGACAACUCUGAACAGACUUGUAUGGAGUGGUAACUCAAUCUAUUACUACAAUUUGCAGUAACAUUUGAGGAAGUGUGUCAGUAAUCCAUAACAAAGAACAUUUAACGCCUAGUCUACACUACAGAGUUAGGUCAACAUAAGGAAGCUUACAUUGACCUAAUUUUAUUACGCAUCUACACUACAGUAAGCUGUCCUCUACGCUGACCUAAUAACUUCACCUCCGUGCGCAAAAGUGUGCUUAGGUCAAUGUAGUUAAGUUGCUUACAUCACCUGUUGCUGCUUUUGACAGCCCGAGCCCCGUUGCCCUUGCAUGGAGCCAGCCAGUGCCAUCAGCCCCAGCUUCGCUGCCCCCACAUGGGGCCAGCCACCCCAGCCCCAUGUAGGGGCAAGCGGGACUGGGGCCGAUGGCACCGGCCAGUGGGCGGCAGGGCCGGCCGCCAGCUGGUGCCAUCAACCCCAGCUGCUCCCGGGUGGGGCAGAGCAGGCCAGCCAGUGCCACCAGCCCUGCU